AACAAACGCUGGCGGCGUGCAUAACACAUGCAAGUCUAACGGGAAAGUCGGCUUCGGCUGGCUAGUACCGUGGCGAACGGGUGAGUAACACGUGGGUAAUCUAACCUCGAGCUCGGGAUAACCUUGCGAAAGCGAGGCUAAUACCGGAUAAGACCACGCCCUGUCCGCAGGGUGCGGUAAAAGGUGGCCUCUUCCUGAAAGCUAUCACUUGAGGAUGAGCCCGCGGCCUAUUAGCUAGUUGGUAGGGUAACGGCCUACCAAGGCGACGAUGGGUGGCCGGCCGGAGAGGGGGUACGGCCACACCGGCACUGGGAGACGGGCCAGACUCCUACGGGAGGCAGCAGUGGGGAAUUUUGCGCAAUGGGGGAAACCCUGACGCAGCAACGCCGCGUGAGUGAUGAAGGCCUUCGGGUCGUAAAGCUCAUUUAGUGGGGAAGAACCCCUCCUGGACGAAUAAUUCAGGAGGAUGACGGUACCCACAGAAAAAGUUCCGGCUAACUACGUGCCAGCCGCCGCAGUAAGAC
rnacentral:rRNA from 1 species